rnacentral:rRNA from 1 species
GAUGAACGCUGGCGGCGUGCCUAAUACAUGCAAGUCGAGCGAACAGAUGAGGAGCUUGCUCCUCUGACGUUAGCGGCGGACGGGUGAGUAACACGUGGAUAACCUACCUAUAAGACUGGGAUAACUUCGGGAAACCGGAGCUAAUACCGGAUAAUAUAUUGAACCGCAUGGUUCAAUAGUGAAAGACGGUUUUGCUGUCACUUAUAGAUGGAUCCGCGCCGCAUUAGCUAGGUGGUAAGGUAACGGCUUACCAAGGCGACGAUGCGUAGCCGACCUGAGAGGGUGAUCGGCCACACGGGAACUGAGACACGGUCCAGACUCCUACGGGAGGCAGCAGUAGGGAAUCUUCCGCAAGGGGCGAAAGCCUGACGGAGCAACGCCGCGUGAGUGAUGAAGGUCUUCGGAUCGUAAAACUCUGUUAUUAGGGAAGAACAAAUGUGUAAGUAACUAUGCACGUCUUGACGGUACCUAAUCAGAAAGCCACGGCUAACUACGUG